rnacentral:tRNA from 1 species
AGAAGUUUAGGAUAAUUAGUCCAAGAGCCUUCAAAGCCCUAAGUAAACCCACGAAGUUUAACUUCUG